rnacentral:tRNA from 1 species
GGGCUAUUAGCUCAGUGGGUAGAGCGCGCCCCUUUCACGGGCGAGGUCUCUGGUUCAAGUCCAGGAUGGCCCAGCUGCGCCAGGGA